rnacentral:rRNA from 1 species
CCAGACUCCUACGGGAGGCAGCAGUGGGGGAUAUUGGACAAUGGGGGGAACCCUGAUCCAGCGACGCCGCGUGAGUGAAGAAGUAUCUCGGUAUGUAAAGCUCUAUCAGCAGGGAAGAAAGAAAUGACGGUACCUGAGUAAGAAGCCCCGGCUAACUACGUGCCAGCAGCCGCGGUAAUACGUAGGGGGCAAGCGUUAUCCGGAAUUACUGGGUGUAAAGGGAGCGUAGACGGUGAAGUAAGUCUGGAGUGAAAGGCGGGGGCCCAACCCCCGGACUGCUCUGGAAACUAUUUGACUGGAGUGCAGGAGAGGUAAGCGGAAUUCCUAGUGUAGCGGUGAAAUGCGUAGAUAUUAGGAGGAACACCAGUGGCGAAGGCGGGUUCCUGGACAUUAACUGACGCUGAGGCACGAAGGCCAGGGGAGCGAAAGGGAUUAGAUACCCGUGUAU